UCUUUUCAUCCAGGGGACGGCACACGCAGGUGUGAAGGUGGCAGGCAGUGGCCACCCCACGAAACCUCACAUCUCUCCUGCAUCUGGUACCCAGAGCCAAACUCCAUGGACCUGUAGCCAAGCUGAGCUUAUCAGAACACCCACCCACCCUCCUGCCCCCCGGUCCUUCAUGCUCAAUGUGAUGUCCUGCUAACCUGCUCUCCACCCUUCUUGCCCGGAUGCCAUUCACUCGCUCUCAGCAUAGACACACUCUGCUGAGCCCCUGCUACACUUCAGGAAUGCAGCCUGGCCAAGAUGGACAAAUGAUCAAGGACAGGACAACGAGCACCCCCGAACACCAUCAGAGAGGCCUCAGCGUCCAGGAGCUGCCCUGCUCUUACAACAGGUGAUACAGCCUGAGAAAUAGGAAUUCCAAAGGCACAUCUGCUCUUCCUCACUUGCAGAUCUUGAAAGCAGGAUUAAGAUGUCUUCCAGGGAAUUCCUUGGUGGUUCAGUGGUUAGGACUCCAGGCUUCCAUUGCAGGGGGCAUGAGUUCGAUCCCUGGUUGGGGAACUAAGAUCCCGCAUGCUGUGCAGCGUGACCAAAAAAAAAAAAAAAAAAGACACCUUCUAGGACUUGCCAUGGGGUCUCCAGCCCUCAGCUUAACGGUCUAUUUUACUUAGUAAGUCCCUUUACCCAUAUUUUCUGAAUUAUGUGAAAGUGGAGGCAAAGAUGAUUGAAGUUUCGAGUGUGGGUGACUCUGAGGGCAGAAGCCUCGUGUUAUGGGUUAAAUUGUGUCCCCCCCUCCAAAGAUGCUAAAGUCCUAACCCCCAGUACCUGUGCAUGGGAUUUUGGAUUUUAUUUGGAAAUAGGUUCUUUCCAGAUGAUCAAGUUAAAAUGAGGUCAUGAGGGUGGGCCCUAAUCCAAUAUGACUGUGUCCUUAUAAAAGGGGGAAAUUUGGACACAGAGACUGACAUGCACAGGGAGAAGGCCAUGUGAAGAUGAAGGCAGAGAUCAGGGUGACACAUCUAUAACACAAGGGUUGCCAAAGAUUGCCAGCAAACCACCAUAAGCAGGGAGAGAGGAGUGAAACAGACUCUGUCUCCACCACAGCCUUCAAAUAGAACCAACCCUGACAACACAUUGAUCGUGGACUUCUAUCUUCCAGAACUCUGAGAUAAUCCAUUUCUGUCAUUGAAGCUACCCAGCUUGUGAUGUUUUGUGACAGCAUCCCUAGGAAAUGAAUACCCCUGUAUAUAGCAACAAGGAAGCCAGCCAUGGGGCAGGACGAGAAAGGGCAACGACUCAAUUCAAACUAACAAGUUGUUUCCAGGGGCUGCCACACGCCUGGUGCUGUGCUAGGUAUGAGGAUGUAGCAGUGAGCAAGAGUCACAGCCCCUGCCCUUAGGGGGCUUUAGAGUGACCCGAAGGAGGCAGGCAGUAAGGAAUAGCACGCAUGCCAUUGUGACUUCAGGUGAUUUACAAGGUGGGGAUUUAAUCUA